rnacentral:rRNA from 1 species
GACGAACGCUGGCGGCGUGCCUAAUACAUGCAAGUAGAACGCACAGUUUAUACCGUAGCUUGCUACACCAUAGACUGUGAGUUGCGAACGGGUGAGUAACGCGUAGGUAACCUGCCUGGUAGCGGGGGAUAACUAUUGGAAACGAUAGCUACUACCGCAUAAUAUUAAUUAUUGCAUGAUAAUUAAUUGAAAGGAGCAAUUGCACCACUACCAGAUGGACCUGCGUUGUAUUAGCUAGUAGGUGAGGUAACGGCUCACCUAGGCGACGGUACAUAGCCGACCUGAGAGGGUGUUCAGCCAAGCUGGGACUGAGACACGGCCCAGACUCCUGCGGGUGGCAGCAGUAGGGGAUCUUCGGCAAUGGACGAAAGUCUGACCGAGCAACGCCGCGUGAGUGAAGGAAGUUUUCGGAUCGUAAAGCUCUGUUGUAAGAGAAGAACGGGUGUGAGAAUGGAAAGUUCACACUGUGACGGUAUCUUACCAGAAAGGGACGGCUAACUACGUG